rnacentral:rRNA from 1 species
ACGAGAAAGCACUUCGGUGUGAGUACAGUGGCGCACGGGUGAGUAACGCGUAGUUGACGUACCUUUUAGUGGGGGACAACAUCGGGAAACCGGUGCUAAUACCGCAUAAGUUAAACGACAUUGGAAAAGUUUAAGAAAGGGGGCCUUUGGCUCUCGCUAGAAGAUCGGGCUGCGUGACAUUAGCUUGUUGGUGGGGUAAUGGCCUACCAAGGCGACGAUGUCUAGCUGGUCUGAGAGGAUGAUCAGUCACACUGGAACUGAGACACGGUCCAGACUCCUACGGGAGGCAGCAGUAGGGAAUAUUGCACAAUGGGGGAAACCCUGAUGCAGCAAUACCACGUGAGUGAGGAAGGUCUUCGGAUUGUAAAGCUCUGUCCUAUAGGAAGAAUGGCAUUGCGGUUAAUACCCGCUAUGUUUGACGGUACUAUAGAAGAAAGCACCGGCUAACUCCGUGCCAGCAGCCGCGGUAAUACGGAGGGUGCAAGCGUUGUUCGGAUUUACUGGGCGUAAAGCGCGCGCAGGCGGAUUGGCAAGUCAGAUGUGAAAUCCCGGGGCUCAACCCCGGAACUGCGUCUGAAACUGCCAAUCUAGAGUCUCAUA